rnacentral:tRNA from 1 species
GGAGGAGUGGCUCAAUGGUACAGCAUCAGUUUACUAAACUGACGUGCGAAAGCGCUUGUCGGUUCGAUUCCGGCCUCCUCCG